GACGAACGCUGGCGGCGUGCUUAACACAUGCAAGUCGAACGGAAAGGCCCUGCUUUUGUGGGGUGCUCGAGUGGCGAACGGGUGAGUAACACGUGAGUAACCUGCCCUUGACUUUGGGAUAACUUCAGGAAACUGGGGCUAAUACCGGAUAGGAGCUCCUGCUGCAUGGUGGGGGUUGGAAAGUUUCGGCGGUUGGGGAUGGACUCGCGGCUUAUCAGCUUGUUGGUGGGGUAGUGGCUUACCAAGGCUUUGACGGGUAGCCGGCCUGAGAGGGUGACCGGCCACAUUGGGACUGAGAUACGGCCCAGACUCCUACGGGAGGCAGCAGUGGGGAAUAUUGCACAAUGGGCGGAAGCCUGAUGCAGCAACGCCGCGUGCGGGAUGACGGCCUUCGGGUUGUAAACCGCUUUCGCCUGUGACGAAGCGUGAGUGACGGUAAUGGGUAAAGAAGCACCGGCUAACUACGUGCCAGCAGCCGCGGUGAUACGUAGGGUGCGAGCGUUGUCCGGAUUUAUUGGGCGUAAAGGGCUCGUAGGUGGUUGAUCGCGUCGGAAGUGUAAUCUUGGGGCUUAACCCUGAGCGUGCUUUCGAUACGGGUUGACUUGAGGAAGGUAGGGGAGAAUGGAAUUCCUGGUGGAGCGGUGGAAUGCGCAAAUAUCAGGAGGAACACCAGUGGCGAAGGCGGUUCUCUGGGCCUUUCCUGACGCUGAGGAGCGAAAGCGUGGGGAGCGAACAGGCUUAGAUACCCUGGUAGUCCACGCUGUAAACGGUGGGUACUAGGUGUGGGGUCCAUUCCACGGGUUCCGUGCCGUAGCUAACGCUUUAAGUACCCCGCCUGGGGAGUACGGCCGCAAGGCUAAAACUCAAAGGAAUUGACGGGGCCCCGCACAAGCGGCGGAGCAUGCGGAUUAAUUCGAUGCAACGCGUAGAACCUUACCUGGGUUUGACAUGGAUCGGGAGCGCUCAGAGAUGGGUGUGCCUCUUUUGGGGUCGGUUCACAGGUGGUGCAUGGCUGUCGUCAGCUCGUGUCGUGAGAUGUUGGGUUAAGUCCCGCAACGAGCGCAACCCUUGUUCACUGUUGCCAGCACGUUAUGGUGGGGACUCAGUGGAGACCGCCGGGGUCAACUCGGAGGAAGGUGGGGAUGACGUCAAGUCAUCAUGCCCCUUAUGUCCAGGGCUUCACGCAUGCUACAAUGGCUGGUACAGAGAGUGGCGAGCCUGUGAGGGUGAGCGAAUCUCGGAAAGCCGGUCUCAGUUCGGAUUGGGGUCUGCAACUCGACCUCAUGAAGUCGGAGUCGCUAGUAAUCGCAGAUCAGCAACGCUGCGGUGAAUACGUUCCCGGGGCU
rnacentral:rRNA from 1 species